UUCUUGUAUACAAUUACAAUUUUAAAUUAUUUUUAUUUCUAGCUAAGAUGGGCAUGUUGCAGUUAUGACAGUUAUAAAUUUUAUCUUAGUAAUAUCUCAGUGAUAUUAAGAUUGGAUUUGCUUAAUAUUUCUUUCAAAAUAGAGUAUGAAAAGUUAUGAAUGGGACGUAGUUGAAAUGCAAAGAAGGAGCUUAACCAAUCUGAAGACAUUUAUCAGGUAUGAAUGGGGCUUAGUUGAAAUGCAAGGAAGGAGCUAAACUAAUCUUGACAUUUAUUAGGUAUGAAAAAUUAUGAAUGGGACUUAGUUGAAAUGCAAAGAAUGAGCUAAACUAAUCUUGACAUUUAUUAGGUAUGAAAAAUUAUGAAUGGGACUUAGUUGAAAUGCAAAGAAUGAGCUAAACUAAUCUUGACAUUUAUUAGGUAUGAAAAAUUAUGAAUGGGACUUAGUUGAAAUGCAAAGAAUGAGCUAAACUAAUCUUAAUUCAUUUAUCAGGUGUGUAUAUUUAGGUUUUUCUAUCAUAUUUUCAAGUUUUUUUAAAUUCAAUUACCAGUUUGUGUUCAUAUUUAAACGUGUUCUUAUGUAAGGGAUCAGAAAAAAGUAUAAUGAAUUAUAAGUUGGAACUUUGUUCUUGAAUUGUAGAAAUAUAUCUUGAUACAACAAAUCAUGACCUUAUGGUAUGAAAUCAAUGUUUUCUACUUCUUGCCGCCUUCUAUAUGUAUUUUUCAUUCUUUAAGCUUGAUGCCGUUGUAACAAAAUAUUGUAUCUCAUUAUGCUCAUUUUAAUAAUUUAAUUCUUAUUGUAGCGUUCACUUAAAAUGUUGGCUUUAAAGAAAAUACUUCUAAGUCUAUUUGUUUUUAUUCCUAAUUUUCAAUCAUAUCUAUGCAAUAUUAAGACAAAUUACGUUUUUGCUUUGAGUACAUUUUCUUCUCAGCUUUGUUUAAAUUAAAAACUGAAAAUAUUUCU